UGGGGAAUUUUGGACAAUGGGCGAAAGCCUGAUCCAGCCAUGCCGCGUGCAGGAUGAAGGCCUUCGGGUUGUAAACUGCUUUUGUACGGAACGAAAAGCCUCUUUCUAAUAAAGAGAGGUCAUGACGGUACCGUAAGAAUAAGCACCGGCUAACUACGUGCCAGCAGCCGCGGUAAUACGUAGGGUGCAAGCGUUAAUCGGAAUUACUGGGCGUAAAGCGUGCGCAGGCGGUUUUGUAAGACAGAGGUGAAAUCCCCGGGCUCAACCUGGGAACUGCCUUUGUGGCUGCAAGGCUGGAGUGCGGCAGAGGGGGAAUGGAAUUCCGCGUGUAGCAGUGAAAUGCGUAGAUAUGCGGAGGAACACCGAUGGCGAAGGCAAUCCCCUGGGCCUGCACUGACGCUCAUGCACGAAAGCGUGGGGAGCAAAACAGGAUUAGAUACCCCUGGGUAGUCCACGCCCUAAAACGAUGUCAACUGGUUGUUGGGGUCUUCACUGACUCAGUAACGAAGCUAACGCGUGAAGUUGACCGCCUGGGGGAGUACGCCGCAAGGUUGAAACUUAAAGGAAUUGACGGGGUC
rnacentral:rRNA from 1 species